GCCCGUCAGCACGUUGCUGGGCCGCGCCUCUCCAUCCCCGUUCGUCGGAAGUCCUCUGCCUAUUCUCUGUUUCGCGAUGUUUAUCUUCGUUCUGUGCUGGAUCAAUCCUUGCAUGCAUGGCUGGGUCAAGUCAUCCACGUAUCAACCGCAAUCUGCAUACAGAGUAGCUGGUCGCCGUCCGAGGCGCCUCUCUGAUCCACGUCUUCCUCCGCGUCGCCCAGGUCCAAGGCGCGGGCUUUCUGCAUCUUGAGUUGGCUGCGUGUAUCAGCACACACACAUCAACCGCGCUUUUGCCGGAUCCACGCCGUCAGAUCGUUGCUCGCGGCCGGCCACCUGAUCCAGGUCUCCAUCUUGGUCCGGUUCAACAAUUGUCCCGGCUUCUCUUGAUCAAAUUCGUGCAGUAGCACAUCUGGUACACUUCCUCCGAAUACAACCGUGAGCUCCAAGGGUCAAAUCCCAUUCCAUGCAAGACAAUCCUUUUUAUAAUCCCAUUCUUCCUUAGCAUUUGCUUCUUCCCGGAUAGGAUCACGAAGUGGUGAUGUGAGAUACG